rnacentral:rRNA from 1 species
AUGGCUCUGGGGUUGAGGCGCUCAAGGAUGGAGGUGCUCAUGGCGGAGGGAGCGAAGGACGGCCCGCAGGCGAGCUCGAGAUGGAGGCGGCCCCGUGGGAGAGGCAGUGAGUCCGGAAGCGAGGGCAUGGAGGUCAACAACGAGUGCUCGGGAGAGGAGAGGAAGGCGGCACUCCAGGCAGUGGUGCUGGGUAGAGAGAGAUGCUGGCGGCGGCAGGAGCAGCUCGUCUCUUCUCCUCGUCUCAUCUCAUGGAUGAAGGCGCCGGUUCCAGGAGCUCCAGGAUUGGAAAACGUCUUCCUUCAAAAUUUUGCCAAGGUGCUCCUCUCUCUUUGCUUCUUCUCUCUUCUCUGUACUUUGUUUGGGCAAGCUUUGACUUGGCCAGUGAUCUUGUCUCACAUUACAGUUUUGGAAUUUGUCAACGAAAGUCUUCUCUGUUUCAGGGAGGAGAUCGAACACACUUGUUCUAUUGAUCUGGAGGGUACAUAUACAGAGGGAACAGAGGGCGUCUGGGUCACGAUGGUGAUCGUGGGCAGCCAUGUUCGAGAGGUGGAGGUUAUCACACCCCGUAGUCGUGACGUCGGGCGGAGCGACGCAAAGACUGGAACGGAAGUCAUGGAAGACGCCGGCCAGCAAUCAGUGUUCGCCAUCAUGGUUAAGCAAUUGGUCCGGACAAGAUGUAAUAUCCGCAGGCAUGAGUUAACUGCAUAUGGGAAUGGGAAAGAAUUGGGCAAGCGAGACCAGCGGGGGAAGGAACAGGCCAUGGCCUUAAACGCUGGCUUGUCGUUUGCUUCAACGUUGCUUACAGCUGAAGAAGACAAAGACCAGCAGCCGAUGGACGCCAUCUGGUGUUGUGUACAACAGGUUCUGGGGUAUGAGAUACCUCUCCAGAAGAACAAUGAGGAUGCUCCUAGUGUUAUCCAAUUUAAUCAGCUUGCAAUAAUAGGUUGGAUGGACUUUGGCCACAGGUUGCAGGAUAGCAGGAUGUGUUUUUCAGUGAUGUGGUUGCUCACAGUUACAAAUUACUCUCAUAUGCCUAAGUAUAAGAUGGCAUCAGUUAAACAAGAGGAGGCAAACACAACCAGUGAUAUCAGCGGUAGCCAAAUUACCCAUGACGAACUGUGUCGGAAGCAUAACAAGCCAUUCGAGUAUAUUCAUCGCCCACGCGAAAUCAUCCACAACAUCACCACGCCUGAUCGCUACUAUGUGUGCCACAUGACAGAAACAUUUGCAACAGACAUCAAAAGAAUGUACUUUACGGUUCCCUUUUCUAUGGGUUCCCUUUUCCCACACAUGGAUGGUGAUCAGGGUGAACUGCCAAUCACUAUUGGAGAUGGAACUACUGCUAUCACAUCCAGCUUUAUCAAAGGUGUUGACAAAAGGGCCACCAUCACUAGAGGCUGGAGCGACUUCUUCCAUCGGGCACACAUGAACAAAGGGCAAGCAUAUGCUUUUGCCUUCAAAUGCACUUCCAAGGGAUUGUGCCUGAUCGUCUACAUAAGCAAGUUGCAAGAGCCCCUUGUUAUAUAA